UCCCAUAAUGGAGGUAUAGACCUGAUCUGAGUGCAGGACUCUCCUGUACUGUCCCAUAAUGGAGGUAUAGACCUGAUCUGAGUGCAGGACUCUCUAGUGUACUGUCCCAUAAUGGAGGUAUAGACCUGAUCUGAGUGCAGGACUCUCUCGUGUACUGUCCCAUAAUGGAGGUAUAGGCCUGAUCUGAGUGCAGGACUCUCUCAUGUACUGUCCCAUAAUGGAGGUAUAGACCUGAUCUGAGUGCAGGACUCUCUCGUGUACUGUCCCAUAAUGGAGGUAUAGACCUGAUCUGAGUGCAGGACUCUCUCGUGUACUGUCCCAUAAUGGAGGUAUACUGUAAUAUACCGUUUUGUUUUGUAGAACAGUGUAACUUACCCCCCCAAAAAACCAAAUCCUUGAAAUAAAGAGAUUUUUUUGUGUGUUUUUAUA